rnacentral:rRNA from 1 species
CAGUCGCCACGGUAAUACGUAGGGUGCGAGCGUUAAUCGGAAUUACUGGGCGUAAAGCGUGCGCAGGCGGUUUUGUAAGACAGGCGUGAAAUCCCCGGGCUCAACCUGGGAAUGGCGCUUGUGACUGCAAAGCUAGAGUGCGGCAGAGGGGGAUGGAAUUCCGCGUGUAGCAGUGAAAUGCGUAGAUAUGCGGAGGAACACCGAUGGCGAAGGCAAUCCCCUGGGCCUGCACUGACGCUCAUGCACGAAAGCGUGGGGAGCAAACAGGGUUAGAUACCCGUGUAGUCCCUGUCUCUUAUAC